AUUCCCGUACGAUCAUCCAAGUUAAGCAACGUCGAGCCUGGUCAGUACCUAGAUGGGUGACCGCUUGGGAAUACCAGGUGCUGUAAG